UCAGCUCCUCUUCUCUGACAUCUACUCUGAGAUGCCCAGGCACAUCCAGAAGCAGCGGGAAUCCCUGGAACGUCACCUCAAGCAAUACGGCGAACACUACCCCCUGGACCACUACGAGAAAUGACCUGCUGCCCCGGAGUAGGUCCUCGCUCCGCCCUCCCUGACCACCCAGGACUUGCAGCAAAGACUUGGCCCCGGCCCAUUUGUGCAGAACGAGUGACUUCCCGGGUUUGCAGUCGCUGCCGUGUCACUAAGGUGACGAUGUGCAAAGGAAAGAUUGGUUGUGAGAAGGAGCCCGCUUCUGCUCGGAGCCGGGGCCUUGGGAUCCCUCUGGCUUUUCGUAGCCCGCCAUGAAUGGCUCUUGAGGAGUUUCCAAAAACUCCUUUAAUUUGCACAGAGCCCAUGUAAAGCACAGGAGCCCUUCACAUCUCUUCCACCGUGAAUGGGAGUUGCCUUAUCUCUGCUGCUUUCUUUACGGGCGCUCCAGUACUGCCUCUUCCUCCAUUCCAGGUUCAGCUCAAAAUUGGGCCUUCAGGAACGGUUUCCUUCCAUGGAGGAGUUUGUUUGGAGCAGAAAGCCUUUUUGCCAAUAUUAUUAUGGGCCUCGGAGACUGAAAACCUGGGGAACGCGCUUGCUUUGCGGGAUGUCUUACCUUGCUUCGAAGGUCAAGGUGUGAUGGCUGAGUGGGAGGCCACGGCUUGUUUUCCCUAGGAAAUGUCCAGCCCUGCGCUGGGCAAUAUGCUGUCAAACAGACCUGCAAAAUGUUGCCUUGCAGGAAAGUGUGUCUCAAGCUGGAACUCUUCUUCAGCCAACUCCUCCCACGGGGAUGUGUCUCCAAGGGUUUAACUGGGAUCUGGGGGCUUUUAGCAGCUGGAAAGACCUCUGGAGUAAUAUGUGAGCUGGCUUGGGCAGGGAAAGGGAUUGAUAGUGGGGGAACAUGGGGAAUGUAUUCACUGGGCUUUUGGCAGAGCUCUUGGUGAUGGAGGGGUGUGAUUUCCUGCAGCUUUCCGUGGUGGAGGGGCUGAGCUCUUUUGGUCUGUUACACGUCCUCAUUACUGUUACAACUCGAUGGGAUGCGUAUGCCGAAUCCGUGGCGAGUAUCCGGUGAGUGUUUGUCACUAGGCCAAAUUGGGAAAUUAAUAAAGAAAGAAAUGGA